rnacentral:rRNA from 1 species
UGGGGGAUUUUGCACAAUGGGCGCAAGCCUGAUGCAGCGACGCCGCGUGCGGGAUGGAGGCCUUCGGGUCGUGAACCGCUUUUACAGGGGAGCAAGCUUUCGGGUGAGUUAACUUUGUGAAUAAGCACCGGCUAACUACGUGCCAGCAGCCGCGGUAAUACGUAGGGUGCGAGCGUUGUCCGGAUUUAUUGGGCGUAAAGGGCUCGUAGGCGGUUCGUCGCGUCUGGUGUGGAAGCCCGCUGCUUAACGGUGGGUUUGCGUUGGAUACGGGCGGGCUUGAGUGCAGUAGGGGAGACUGGAAUUCUCGGUGUAACGGUGGAAUGUGUAGAUAUCGGGAAGAACACCUAUGGCGAAGGCAGGUCUCUGGGCUGUUACUGACGCUGAGGAGCGAAAGCGUGGGGAGCGAACAGGAUUAGAUACCCUGGUAGUCCACGCUGUAAACGGUGGACGCUGGAUGUGGGGCCCAUUUCCACGGGUUCCGUGUCGGAGCUAACGCGUUAAGCGUCCCGCCUGGGGAGUACGGCCGCAAGGCUA